rnacentral:rRNA from 1 species
GUCCACGCUGUAAACGAUGGGUACUAGGUGUCGCGGGUGUUGACCCCUGCGGUGCCGCAGCUAACGCAUUAAGUACCCCGCCUGGGGAUUACGGUCGCAAGAUUAAAACUCAAAGGAAUUGACGGGGGCCCGCACAAGCGGUGGAGCAUGUGGUUUAAUUCGACGCAACGCGAAGAACCUUACCUGGGCUAGACAACGGUGGACCGCCUUGGAGACAGGGCUUUCCCUUCGGGGACUGCCGGUUCAGGUGCUGCAUGGCUGUCGU